GUGAGUCAGGUGGUGGGUAAGUGAAGGGAGUAUGUGUUGGAUGAGGUGAGGGUGGUGGCUAGAUAAAGUGAGUAAAGUGGUUAGGUGGAGAUGAAGGUGGUUGUUAGAUGAUGUGAGGGUGGCAGUUAGGUGAGGUAAGAGUUAUGGAUAAGUGAGGUGAAUAUGGUGGGUAAGCGAAGUGAGUAUGGGUUAGAUGAAUUGAGAGUGGUGGUUAGGUGAGAAGAGUGGUUAGGUGAAGUGAAGUUGAUAGGUGAAGUGAGAUGGUGGUUAGGUGAAGGAGAUGGUUAGAUGAAUUGAGAAUGGUGGUUGGAUGAGGUGAGGGUCAUGGUUAGGUGAAGUAUGGGUUAGAUGAGUUGAGAGUGGUGGUUAGGUGAG
rnacentral:lncRNA from 10 species